rnacentral:tRNA from 1 species
CAGGGCAGUGGAUUUGUGAA